rnacentral:rRNA from 1 species
AUUGAACGCUGGCGGCAGGCCUAACACAUGCAAGUCGAACGAGUGGCGGCCGGGUGAAUAGUGUCUGGGAAACUGCCAGAUAGAGGGGGAUAACUACUUGACACUGUAGCUAAUACCGCAUACCAUCGGAUGUGCCCAGAUGGGAUUAGCUAGUAGGUGGGGUAAUGGCUCACCUAGGCGACGCUCCCUAGCUGGUCUGAGAGGAUGACAAGCCACAGGGGAACUGAGACACGGUCAAGACUCCUACGGGAGGCAGCAGUAGGGAAUAGUGCACAAUGGGCGCAAGCCUGAUAGAUCCAUGCCGCGUGUAUGAAGAAGGCCUUCUGGUUGUAAACUACGUUCAGCGAGGAGGCGUUACUCGCAGAAGAAGCACCGGCUAACUCCGUGCUAGCAGCCGCGGUAAUUC